UGGAAUCAUUUUUCAUUCAUUUAAAUUGAAAUUAUUGGGUGAAAACGGAAAUGACAGUAAAUUUACAAGUGCUGUCGUCCACUGGUUAUGCUAGAACGUUUGGCUUUCAUCAUAUGCAAGAGGGACUACGGUUUAGUCUUACUUGCUUCUUAACGUCAGUUCAUCUUUAGAUCCUGUGGAAACACCACCAAAAUCAAACAUGAAACAGAGAUGAGCUCACACCAUCUGCAGAUACUUCUUUUUGGGACAUGAAGUGUUUAGCUAAGGAAGAUCCCCAACAGGGCAGCAAGAGUUCAAAUAAAAGUCUUCUGUAAUGAAUGUAUUUUAAGGGUGUUAACAGCAAUACAAAAUGCUACACUAACUGGUACUCUUUCCAGAAUUGAUUACAAAGAGUUUUCUAAAAUAGAAGUGAGCUUCAUGAACAGAUGUCAGACUUUAAACACUUGGCUGAAACAAAAAGCUUUAUACAGAAACUGCAGAACAAGUUUAGGAGAUGUUUAUUAAGAUGUUAAAUGUAGUAGUAGCAAUAUUUCCAAAUGUGGCAUUCUGUUCAUUAUGCAUACAGUGAGCUUCUUGAUAACACAGCCAUACAUAAACAAACAUAAUAAUGAAGACAAUUGAUACCUUCAUACCUAGCACUUAAUCAAUUGGUGGCAGUGGAGGUGCCAGCUGAGCUGGUAUCAAACAUUGUCAUAUCAUAAAUAAUGAGUCUUCACAGUAUGUUUGUAAAGUUAGUCAGCAAGUCUUAUUAUUUCCCAGCGAUAUAAUGGAAAGCAUAAAAUUAAGCUUCUUGUCCAAGGGAACAUAAAGAAUUGGUAUGAGAGUUCGGAGUAGAAGUUAGACAUCAGUUUGUACAGGAGGAUGAUACAUGAGUGUGGCUUGUUGCUGAACUCUGACAGCAACCUAAGUAACUUGAGAUACAACAAAUAACACUAAUUUUGGAAAAAGUGGUCCUCUCCCCUUCCAGAACACUACAAGUUUAGGACAUAAGAUUUUUUUUGUUGGAGGUCUUCAGCCUGCGAAAAAGAAGUCAGAAGCUGUAUUGAUCAGUGAAAUAACUCGAUUGGCAAGGCCAAAUCUCUCCCUUGACUAAAGCAGAGCUAUAGAUACUUCAUAUUUUCUUUCAUCGUCCUCUCUCAUGGACUCUUUGAUGCUUAAGUUUGGAUCAGCGAGUCCCCAAAGCCCCCUGAUAUUGGUAGUUAUAGUUUCUUGUUUAAACUAUCUGCUAGAAUAUUGUCCUUGCCAGGAAAACAAAGGGUGAAGGCCUGAGCUGACACUGAAUACUUUGUUCCUUUUAUCUAAUGUUCUGCUACAAAGUGGAUGAGACUGAGUUUCCACAGUCAAUUAAUGCACUACAAAAGAUUUCUCCACGAUUUGUCUGCCAAGACUUGUCUCACUGUAGGAUGUAGGAGAGCUGUGAAAGUAAGUUACAUUGCCCUCUGGCCCAAAAUAAAUAUUGUGUGUAAAGUUUUGGCUUUUUGGAUAUCUGAAGAUCUUGGAUAAUACAGUGGUCCAGAGGCUUGCCUCAGAAGGCUAUUUUAGAAAUAUAUGUUAUAUCAGAGCUGAUAGAAAAGAGAAAGGAUGAAUGGCACCCUUGUAGGCACUCUCAAAGUUUAUGUAUGCUACCCUUUUUGAGCCUAGCAACUAGCCAAAUUUAGUUUCUUAAAGGUUAUUCCAAUAAGGAGGACAACUUGGUGGUGGAACGUGGUAUCUUUAAUACAAUCCCGUUCAUUUGCAAAAUGGUACAAAGUCCUGCUUCCUGGAAUGCAUGAGGAAUUUAUCAGGACCAAGUUUCCUUGCUCACAGCCCCAAGGCUUUAUCAGCUAAAAUCUGACCUGACUUAAGACUUUCCUCUGAGCUAGAGGACAGAGCUGGUUCAGCUUUUUCCUCAGUCUGUUUCUGAGUUGUUUGCCUGUUUCUGCUCCUGCACUGCCUCACACCCACCUCUACUCACCCAGCACUGGAGUCAGCAAAGUUUAUCUGCUCACACUACUUACAUUCUUGAACAGCCUUACAUUUACUAUUGUUCUGGGCAGAAACGCAUGUUUAAUUCUGUCUUGUGACUAUCUAAGGAAAAAAGCAGGAGUCAGACCUACCUAUUUCAAUGUGCUUUGACCCAGCCUAUAAUAUACGUAACAGAGGGGGCUUGAAUCUUCUGAAGCAUGAUCACAGUGAUGUCAUGUUGCCAUGCAGAGGACAGUGUGCAAUCUUUAAUGAAGCUUGGAAAAGAUAACAUUUAAAAAUCUGGGAAGCAAUGCCAUACAAAUACAGGGAGCCAUACUUCUCAUAAAGCACGUGAUGCCCUUUUAUGACUUACUGAACAGAGAACAUUGAUGUCUGGAUUGCAAAU